CGAACGCUGGCGGCAGGCCUAAUACAUGCAAGUCGAACGGCUCUUCGGAGCAGUGGCGGACGGGUGAGUAACGCGUGGGAAUGUGCCCUUUGGUACGGAACAACACAGGGAAACUUGUGCUAAUACCGUAUGUGCCCUUCAGGGGAAAGAUUUAUCGCCAUUGGAGCAGCCCGCGUUGGAUUAGGUAGUUGGUGAGGUAAAGGCUCACCAAGCCUACGAUCCAUAGCUGGUCUGAGAGGAUGACCAGCCACACUGGGACUGAGACACGGCCCAGACUCCUACGGGAGGCAGCAGUAGGGAAUCUUGCGCAAUGGGCGAAAGCCUGACGCAGCCAUGCCGCGUGUAUGAUGAAGGUCUUAGGGUUGUAAAGCUCUUUCACCGGUGAAGAUAAUGACGGUAACCGGAGAAGAAGCCCCGGCUAACUUCGUGCCAGCCGCCGCGGUAAAAC
rnacentral:rRNA from 1 species